AUUCCCGACCCCCGGCUCCGGCUCCCUCGGGGGCUGGGGCGAGGCAGCGCCCGCACACUGGCUGCGCCGGCUGCCGGGGGCCCUCACAUCUUUCCCCAGAAUGCACCAAAUUCCAAGAGGAUAAGUGUAUCCAGGCUAAAGCAUCUGUUUCGGAAACAUAGUUGAAAGGACGGAGGAAGCUUAGGGCAAGAAUUUCUUUGGUUUUUAUCUUCCCUUAAAUUUUGAAAUAUGUUUUCAGCAUAUUUUGCUUCCAGUUUCAGACAUAUUUUAAUUCUUGUCCCUACUCUUGAGUUUUCCUGCAGAUAAGCUUGAGAAAUGGCAUUGUUAGAGAGGGUGGAAAUUUUAUUUGGUAGGUGGAAGGUUUGAUUUGUUUGUUUUUCACUCUAUUUAGUGUUUUUUUUUUUAUUGAUGUACAAUUUUUACACUAUUAGAACUUCAAUUAAUGCACUUUGAAAUUUUUCAUCAGAUUUUUACUCAAAGUUACAACCAGUUUGCAAAUUAAGCCUUACAGUACUUCUCAGUUAGCAGUAAGGUUAUUGUUUUUCACUCAGUGUCAAAAGUAUUUUUUCCCUUUCCUCAGACGGCUAAAAAUCUGCAAGGGAGGUGUGUUUAGUCUUUGUUUUUAUAGAUACAGUUCCAUUCAUUAAACACAUCAGUCAAGUGUAUCUGUUUGUAAAAAGCUGGCUUGUGGUUCCGCUCAAGGCCUUAUUGAGGGAUCAAAACUAGAGUAUUCUUGCUACAAAUAUGAAGCAGUUCAUCACAUCUGUCAGCGAACAUUAAGGCAAGAAAUACAAAUUUUGUUUUCACAGACAAUCUAGUUCAAGUUAGAUUGGCACAGAUAGCAUAAAUAAGGCAGACUAAUAACUAAGAAAUGGUUGUCAGGAUUCAUAUUGGCAACUGAAAGUACAGUUUUGCUAGUGUAAAUUGAGUUUUAAGGGAAAUGGAGUUUACUACUGAGACAGUGCUCUAGAUUUUGUAAGACUGUAUUUUAUGAAUUUGUGCAUUAUUUUGAGGUUUGGUACUGACGUUGCCUAGAACUGACUUUUGGAAAGGAAUUGCAAAGACCUGACAGCUUUCUAAGUAUUAUGCAAACCUUCCCAUCCAUCAGAUUUGCUUUCAUCAAGCCUGACUGUAUGAAGUGUAAAAUCUUUUCCCAAAACUAUUUUCAGUCACAUUUUAGAACCCUUAUGUAAAUAGAGAGCAUUAAGAUUAAAGCCAACUGUUUCUAUUUUGAGCCUCUGAAGACUUUACAAUU